rnacentral:rRNA from 1 species
CCCUUAGAUGUCCUGGGCCGCACGCGUGCUACACUGACGCAUACAGCGAGCACUUUCCAGUUCCGAGAGGCUACUGGUAAUCAUCAAUAUGCGUCGUGAUGGGGAUAGAUCUUUGGAAUUCUGGAUCUUGAACGAGGAAUGCCUAGUAAUCGCAGGUCAUUAGCCUGCGAUGAUUAAGUCCCUGCCCUUUGUGCACACCGCCCGUCGCUACUACCGAUUUCGAGUGGUCAGGUGAAUCUUUCGGACUGUGGGCGCCCUUGAGGUGUUCGCGGAAAGUCAGGCAAAUCUUAUCACUUAGAGGAAGUAAAAGUCGUAACA